UGAUAAAUGUAUGUAUUAAAUACAGAGAUUCACAAAUUUUAAUUCAGGUACAAGUUUCUGAGUAAAAAAUUUUGUAUAUGUAAAAUUUAGUGUCAUUCCAUUAUGUCUUAAUCAAUCAUUUACCACCUCAUUGAUAAUCAUAUCACAUAUUCUCAUUUUUAUAGUGGGUCUCAUUGGAGUCGAAGUGUGGCACAAGAUUGACUGAUUUUUUUGUAAGCGUGACAUGUGAAAGUGAAUUCUUUUUGCAUGAAAAAGUGUAGCAAAGUCAGCUAGGACACAUGAAAUUACAAGCGCUAUUAUUGCAAAAAUAAAGGCCUUACAGGAUUCUGACAAAACACUUAGCGGGAUAUAAGGUCAAACCCCCCCCAAUAAGACCCCUAUUAUAUUGUAAAUGGUUGUUGUUAAAGGGCUAAGUAAAUAUAUGUAUCAUUUAAGUUGUCAUAUGUAAUUAUUAUUUAUGAUCUUGCACAUACCUCCAUUUUCAAGCAUGAUAAAUAUUUGUUGAUUAUUAAAAUAGAAUCAGUUCUUCAUAAUUAUGUUAAUAAUUAUGUUAUUUUUUAAUCCAGAAAUUUGGUCCUAUUAAGGGAAUGUCAUUGUAUAAUGAUUUUAUUGAUGUAAAGAGACAUGAUUUACAAGAAUGAUGCAACUGUGUAAAAUAUCAUACCAUGAAGGAAUAAUAAUUUCUUACUUACUCUGUUUAUACCAUCAACAAUCUUAUUUUUUAAAUGUUUUUAUUUUUAUGGAACCCGUCUUGUAGAAUUUCACAAUAAUUAUCCCAAAAGUCUCUGUAUUUACAAUACGUUAAUGGGAAUAAUUAAUUCUAUAACUGUAUUUGAAUUUAUAAUUGCCUUUUUAAAAAAAAAUCAAAAGCCUAUAAAAUUCGGGCAAAAUUUACAGUCUUUUAAGAUAAGAAAUGGUACUAUCAUUUCACAAAAUACAUGAAUAACUUUUUAACUGUUGAAGACUGUUGAUGUCUACUUUUCUUUUUGUCUCUUUGUUGAAAAAUUUCACAACUCAUUCUAUUUAUAUAAAACAUACCCAACAUAUAUCAAACAAACAUAACAUACUGUAAUUCAUGUAGAAUCAUUACAGCUUAUGAUAUUGUUGAGGUUAAAGUGUACUGGAUAAAACUGCAUACCGUUGACUUUAUUAUUAUAUAUAUUGAAAUGCUAAAAUGUAUUACCAUUAUUAGUAAAAUCUGAAAAUUUUACAAUCAUCAUGAACUGACCUAAUUUAAGUUACAAUCAUCAUCAACUUUGACCUAAUUUAAGUUACAAUCAUCAUCAACUUUGACCUAAUUUAAGUUACAAUCAUCAUCAACUUUGACCUAAUUUAAGUUACAAUCAUCAUCAACUUUGACCUAAUUUAAGUUACAAUCAUCAUCAACUUUGACCUAAUUUAAGUUACAAUCAUCAUCAACUUUGACCUAAUUUAAGUUGUGCAUUACUAUGACGACC
rnacentral:lncRNA from 1 species